rnacentral:rRNA from 1 species
GUGGGGAAUAUUGGACAAUGGGCGAAAGCCUGAUCCAGCCAUGCCGCGUGUGUGAAGAAGGUCUUCGGAUUGUAAAGCACUUUAAGUUGGGAGGAAGGGCAGUAAGUUAAUACCUUGCUGUUUUGACGUUACCAACAGAAUAAGCACCGGCUAACUUCGUGCCAGCAGCCGCGGUAAUACGAAGGGUGCAAGCGUUAAUCGGAAUUACUGGGCGUAAAGCGCGCGUAGGUGGUUCAGCAAGUUGGAUGUGAAAGCCCCGGGCUCAACCUGGGAAUUGCAUCCAAAACUACUGAGCUAGAGUACGGUAGAGGGUGGUGGAAUUUCCUGUGUAGCGGUGAAAUGCGUAGAUAUAGGAAGGAACACCAGUGGCGAAGGCGACCACCUGGACUGAUACUGACACUGAGGUGCGAAAGCGUGGGGAGCAA